rnacentral:lncRNA from 1 species
UUUUUUUUUUUGUAAUGAUCAUCUUAUUUUUAAUAUAAUUUGUAUAGCUAGAACUUAAUCAUUUAUAGGUACUGCGGCAGGCUGAUUCCUUCAAUAAAUUAUAAAUGUAGGUUUCAUUACUUAAUUACAUGUUAUAGCCAACUCUGUAUUUGACUUUAGACCUUUAAGCCAACAGUUAAAUUUUUGAAAUCCACAAUCUUCUCAGGCUUGCAGAUUGAUAAUAAGAAUUGUGAUUGCUCAAUUUUUGUUGUUGUCCUAGCAAAACAAACCUUAUUCUUUGUCAGUCCUUUAUGCUUAUGUCUAUGUUCAGCUUUUCAUUUUAACUCGGGUGUAGUUUGAUGCAAAUGUAUAACAAAUAAUUGAUUUAAAGAUGUAUAUAAUGUUAACUUCACUCUAAUUGUCCAAGUAAGGAUUGAAGUUUCCCAAUUUUGCCACAAUAUGUUAACAAUUUGCACUUGUAAUUUACAGCUGUUGUCAAAACAUCUCUUAAUGUGCAUAUUUAUGCUUUCCAAAUGUAAUUUACAGCUACUGUCAUAAUAUCUCUUAAUGCGCAUAUUUAUGUUGUCAAAAUGUGAAUAAUGACUAUUGUUUUCAUGUUAUAGAUUAUGUAUUUUAAUUUUGUCCAAAUGUGAAUAUCGACUGCUGUCCGAUCCUAAAAUGUUCAUAAAUUCAUUAGUGGUGUUGUUUGAAAUUGAACUGGAGUUGAUAUAAUGUUUAUUUAGGUUUGAAUUGCUGUGUAAUUUGUUGAUACUAAUAUAAUGUUUUAUUUUCCCUUUUUGGUUUAAGGUUUGAUGUUGAACAAAAUACUUUAGAGGGAGAUUUUGGAGGUGAAGCGUCUGACUUAGAUGAUAGUUCAUAUAAAGCUUAUGAGUCAGAUACUUCUUAUUCUAAUUCUUUUGAGUCUGAUGCUGAUAGGGUAGAUGAACCAGAGGUUGAACUAGUAGGUGAAAUGAUAUAGAAGGAGUUAGACUACUUACUAGGUUCAGGUUUUUGGGGUUUAGAAGAUGAUUUUGAUAGUAAUAAUGAUGAGGAUUUGACUAAUGACGUAGAUUAUGAUAAAUAUUGGAAUAAAAAGUACCCUCUAUUCAAUCCUCAAACUGAUAUGAGGAACCCUAUAUUGAUAAAGGGUUUGGUUUUCCCUAGUAGAGACAUUUAAAAAGAUGUAGUUAAAUAGUAUGGAAGGAUAAAUAGGGUAGUAACCAAACUAACUAGGAAUGACAAGCUUAGGGUGAAAGCAGUCUGUGUACCUAGUUGUCCAUGGACGUUAUGGGCAUCCAAAUUAAAUCCCAAUGAUCCAAUGGAUGGGAGUUGGCAAAUUAAGAUUUUAGUCAACCACCAUAAGUAUGGCAAGGUAAUGAAAAAUAAGAGUAUUACUUCAAAAUGGAUGGCUAGACAUUAUUUACACAAAUUUCAAGUUAAUCCCAAUUAUUCCUUAACAUAUUUAUAAAAUGAUAUUAGGGUAGAUUUUGGAACAAUAGUGUCUUGGACUAAUUGUAUGAGGGCUAAGAUUAGGGCUCUGGAACUAGUUCAAGGGAAUCAUAAAGCCCAAUAUGCCAAUAUACGUGAUUAUUUACUUGAGUUAAGGAGAAGCAACCCUGGUACAACAACCAUAUGUAAAUUAGACUGUAGGCUAUUUCAGAUGCUUUAUAUAUGACUUGAAGUAUGCAAAUUAGGUUGGUUAACUAGCCGUAGGAGAAUUAUAGGGUUAGAGGGUGUUGGCUAAAGGGAUAUUGUGGUGGACAUUUGCUUGCUGCUGUUGGGGUUGAUGCCAAUAAUUGUAUAUAUCCAGUGGCUUUUGCUGCAGUUGAGAGUGAAAAUAAACAAUCAUGGUUUUGGUUCCUCGAGCUGUUACAGAGGGAUUUGGAUAUCGACAACUCCUACAAUAUAUGCUUUUUGUCUGACAAACAAAAGGUACUAUAAAAUCAUGCGAUACCCUAAAUUGUUUAUAUAAAAACGAUUGAUUAUCAUGUUGUUUUAAUUGUUUUAUAGGGUUUAAUAGAAGCAAUUUCUUUGUUGUUCCCUAAUGCUGAAGCAAGAAAUUGUGCCAGACAUCUUUACAACAAUUUUAAAAACAUGGAAGGAUUUAGAGGCCAAGUUAUGCAUAUCACUUACUGGAAAGUUGCUAAGUAACUUUUCCAAGACAAUUUGAAGAAACAAUGUUUGAAAUGAGGUCACUGUUAGAAUCUGCUGAGGCUUGGCUGUGUUACAAGGAUCCAAAGACUUGGUCAAGAGCCUACUUCUCAACCAGAUGCAAAUCUAAUCUACUACUAAACAAAAACAGUGAAUGUUUCAACAAGGUUAAAAUUUAUUUUUUUUAAUCUGACUAUUUAUCACUACAUGUUGUAUAAUUGUUGUUGGAGUUAUUUAAGGACUUGCUCUGUAACACCCCUCACCCGUGUCCUAUUUCGGGACAGGGUACAAGGAAUUACCGGACUUAAACACAAACAACCAUGCAAACCGGGCCAUAAAAUUUCAUUUAUAUUUUAAAACAUUCAAUCACAUGCACAUAGUCCCUUAUUUUGGUUUACGAAACCCAAAACAUACUUUAGAAAGGGUUCGAGACUAAACCGAGAACUUUGGAAAGCUCUGGGAAAAACUUAGAAAAUUUUGCCAUGAAAUAAGGUCAUACGCCCGUGUACCAUCAACACACCCGUGUCCUUAGGCCGUGUAACUCUCUGUUUAUGACGUCAGGAGAUAAAUUGAAUCACAUAACCAGGCCACACGGCCUAGUGUCACUAGGCUGUGUCCCUCACAUAGUUGAGACACACGGCCAUGUCUCAUCCCAUGUAGUUAACUUUUAGGCUAUUUUCCAAGCCUUUUUGUCACCCUUACAUGCACACACUUAUACAUGGAUCUAAUGGCAUUCAACAUCCUCAAUUAUGAUACAAACAUAUCAUUUACCUAUCAACAUGCAUGUGUUACACAUUCUCACAUUAAACCAAGACUAGUCAUACCAUAGUUAUCUUUGUGCCAAUUUAUUUCAACUUAUUAUCAAACUUCCAUGUUCAAAGCAUUAUUAAUUUAAUUUCAUAUUACACAUUUAAUUCACGGUCAUAAAACACACAUGACAUAUUGCCAACCAUGCAUGACAAACAAAUAUAAUCAUAUCUUCACAUCAUAAGCAAUAAAUCAUAACUUGACUACCUAUACUUACAAACCAUAAUCAAUAUGAGCCACAUCUCAUGGCCAUAUACAAUAGCUCAAAAUAGGCCAAUACUUUGGCCAAAUCAUAAUAACACAUUUCAUAGAACUAGGUCCCUAUACAUGCCAUUCACUUGAUAUUUCUAACAUAUGUAUUGAUACUCCAAAGGUAUUGGCUUGAUAGUGUGAUGCUGCCUCCGACGAUCUCCAACCCCGAGCCGACCUGACAACACUAAAAGAAAUGGAAAACAAUAAGCAAUGUAUUAACAUGCUAUUUUUCAAUUCCUUUAUAUUUAUUCAAAGUCCAGUUAAGCUGUUUUCUCAAGUCAUGGUCACUAAAUUAUUUAUAUACGAAUCUACGACACUCCAAAUUAAGAACCACUAAUUUUUCUAGAAACUAGACUCAUAUAUCUUCUCACCAUAAAAUUUUCAGAAUUUUUGGUCCAGCCAAUAAGUAAAUUUUAUUAUUCAAAGUCUCCCCUAUUUUUUUGUUUGACAGCUUCGACCUUUCUUCACUAAAAUUUACUUAUAUCAUAGUACGGGACUCAGAUGAUGCUCUUGUCUAUUUCCCUUGAAAAUAGACGGGACUCAGAUGAUGCUCUCGUCUAUUUCCCUUAAAAAUAGACUCAUUAAGGAUUUUAAGCAUGUAAUUUAUAACCCAUGAUUAUUUCAUACAAUUUUUAAUGAUUUUCUAAAGUUAAGAUAGGGGAGUCCGAGAUCACUCUGACUCUAUUUCACAAACAUUCAAAUAUCUCAUAAUUCGAGAUUCUUUUACUUACAAUUCAACUUCCAAAAUUUUUGGUGGAUUUUCAAAGUAGGACUAAAGCUGCUGUCCAAAAUAUUUUAGUACAAUAUAAUGACACCAUCACAAGAUUUUCAUGAAAUUACUCUCGUAAGUGUCACUCAUUCAUUUUCAUUCUUAUCACAAGUCCAUGGGUUUCGAGUAUUUACUUGUGCUAUCAUUUAGCACAACACUCGUCCAAACAUGACAAUUCAUAUGCAUCAUAAUAGUAUCAUAUAACAUAAAUGAGUUUAUCAUGACAAGAACCUUUUUAUUUCAUUUCUCAUAUUAAUCUUGUUGAAUUUCUCAGAAUCUCGAUGGAUAUCCCAUUCACCAUCAAUUUCACAAGUGAUUAUUUCAAGUACGCACUCCCGCGAACCUCGCUCUUACGGCUGGAUUACCAGUCUAAGCUAAAUCCCCCGUAGUAUAAACUUAUAUGGUAAUGUCGGGAUUACCAGUCCAAGCUAAAUCCCCCGCAGCGACAAUUACCCUUAUGAGUUCGGAUUUGAAUUACCAAUCUAGGCUAAAUUCAGAUCCUAAUUGGAUUGCCCGUCCGGGCUAAAUCCAUUUCAGCACACAUAUUCUUCGGGAGGCUAGAUCACUUUACAAGUUCAUGUCCGUCAAUUCGUAUUUUCCCUUUCUAAAAAGCACACUCCCGUGAACCUCAUUUCUUACAGCGGGAUUACUAGUCUAGGCUAAACCCCUGUAAUAUAAACUCAUAGAGUAUUGUCGGGAUUACCAGUCCAGGCUAAAUCCCCUGCAACGACAUAUACUCUAAUGAGCUCGGAUCUAAAUUUCCAGUCCAGGUUAAAUUCAGAACCUAAUUCGGAUUACUCAUCCGGACUAAAUCCAUUUACACAUAUUCUUCAGGAGGGCUAUAUAGGGAUUGGAUCACCCGUCCGGGCUAGAUCCUUUUUACCAUCAAUUCUUUUUCAAGAAUCCAUUUAAUAUCCUAUUUCAUUCAACCAAGAUUUUUCUUCCUCUUAUUAUCAAUCAUGUCAAUGUUUCAUAAAUUUUCAUACAUUGAGCAUUCAAAUCAUAUCCUUGUCAAAAGCGUACAUUUAUCAUAUAAUCAUCAUUUAAGCAAUUAACAUACCUCACACAUUGUAUUUACUUACAAAUGGAUUUACCUUUCCUUUCACUCUUUCACACGUUAUCCAACUUAAUAAAAUAUCAUGUUAUAUCAAAUUCUCAGUAUAUUCAGCUAUUAUAUAGCAAGCCAUAAUGAUUGAACUAUCAAACAUCUCAUGUGCUACUAGUCAUAUAUCAUUGUUCUCACAAAUUUUAUAUACCAAUCUCUCAUCACUUUUCAAUAUAUUAAAUCAUGCCAUUCGUGCAAUAAUAAUAUAGAAUUUUCAAUUAAAAUAUAGCAUUGCAAUAUUAUUGGCACACGAACUUACCUCGCCACCAAAAUAGCAAAAAGAAACCUAACUGUCGAUUUUCCAUUUUUUGCCCGAUCUAGGUCCAAUCCUCUUUCUCCUUGAUCUAUAAUAUCACAUUUAGUCUAAUUAUUAGUCACAUUAUUUAAUGUGAUCCAAAAAUUAUAUUUUAGUAAAUUACAUUUUUACCCGUAAAUUUUAUCAAAAUUACACUUUUGCCCCUAGGCUCGUAAAGUGAUUUUUAUUCAAUUUUCUCACUCUAUAGGCCUAGUUGAACCAAUUUCAUAACUAUAUAGAACUAAAAUUGUCAUCAAAACACCCUUUUAUACCAUUUUUAUAACUUUUACAAAAUGGUCAUUUCGGACAUUUUCAUCGAAAAUCGCUUAGUAAAAGUCAUUUAUUUAAAACCCAACACUCAUUUUAUACUAUCAGACAUCAAAAUUCACGCAUGUCACACAUGGGUCAAUUUUUAAACAUGAACCCUCGCGCAAAUUAAUGGUAGAAAUAGAUAGAUCUUGUAACGGGGAUUGCAAAAACGUAAAAUCAUUAAAACGGAGCUAGAAUAAACUUACAAUCGAGCUUGGAAGCUUGAAAAACCCUAGCCAUGGUUUCUCCAUCCAAUUUUUUGCGAAGAUGUUGAAGAUGGACAAAAUUUGGCUUUUAAUUUUGUUUUCAAUUCAUUUUAAUAACUAAAUGACUAAAAUGCCCUUAAUGAAAAACUUUGAAAACAUGCCUAACCAUGUCCAUUUUUUUCCGCCAACUUAACCAAUGGUCUAAUUGCCAUAUAAGGUCCUCCAAUUUAAAAUUUUCAUAACAAUUGGACACCUCUAGCAUGUAGAACUCAACUUAUUCACUUUUUAUGAUUUAGUCCUUUUGACUAAAUUGAGUGCCCAAACGUCUAAUUUUUUUAACGAAAUUUUCACGAAAUCAUUUCGUGAAAUUGUAGACCAUAAAAAUAUAAUAAAAAUAAAAUUUUCCUCAUCGUAUUUGUGGUCUCGAAACCACUGUUCUGACUAGGCCCAAACUCAAAAUGUUACAUGCUCUCCUUACAGGUCAUUUUAGAAGCUAGAGAUAAACUCAUCCUAACAAUGUUGGAAAUAAUUAGAAGAAAAGUCAUGACUAGGUUGGUUUCUAUGAGAGAGGCUGCUGAGAAGCAUCUUGGAUCUUUAUGUCUAAAGAUAUAGAAGAAGAUGUCUGAAAUUCAUAGUCAGACCAAUAAGUAAGUUUUGCUAACUCUUUUUUACUUAGCUUGAAUUCUGUUACUUGGAUGAAACUUUAACUUUAAAAUGUUAAUUUUUCUGUAGUAUAUGGUCGAUAUAUGCUGGAAACGAGAAGUAUGAGGUAGACUGUGGAUUAGGCAAUAAGCAUGUGGUUGACCUCCUCAACUCCUAUUGUUCAUGCAGAAAAUGGGACUUGUUAGGAAUCCCAUGUAAGCAUGUUGUUUCUUGCAUGCAAUUACUUGCUGUGAGCUUUGAAACUUAUGUAAAAACAUUUUAUAUUGUCACUACCCAGUUGAAUAUUUACAGCCACUUGAUUAACCCUAUAAAAGAUAAUGGCCUAAAACCCUCAACCUUUAUGAAAUAUUACUUAUUUAUAGAUGUGUUUGACAUAUUAAAAUUUUUACAUAUAGGUCCUAUGCAAUGGGAACAUGUGAGGGACAUGGAACACAUUCUUCCUCCCAUGAUUAGAAGGCCCCCAGGAAGACCCAAACGAACAAAGAGAAAGGAAGUUGAUGAAGCAAGAAAAAAUGGACCAAAAUUAUGUAAGGCAGGAUAGUAAGAUAACUGUACCAAAUGUGGCAAACUAGGCCAUAAUACAAGGACUUGCAAAGGGAUUGUUGGGGGUAACCAAAUGGCAAGCCAAUCAUCGAGCCUGUAAAUUUUGAACCAAGCCACUUUAAUGGAUAACACAUCAAGCCAACCACCCUUAACCCAACAAAGCUUAAACCUGAUAGCAAAUUUUAGGGCCAAAUUACCUUUCAAAAGGAAUGAUCUACUUAGUCAAUUAACAAUAGUCAGAUGGAUGCCAACUCAACAGAUCAAUGAAUCCACUCCAACACAACUAUCACAAUUUGAAAAACACCCAAGGAUGGAUCAAUUGCUUUAACUGAAAUGGAUUUCACUUUGUUACACAGUUAGGAAAAUAUUUUGUUGAGGGAAAUCUAUUUUGUGGACAAAGAAUUUAUCUUUUUGAAAGGGUUGUGGAAUCAUGUUAACAAUAGUUAGAUUAUACGUUUUGUCUUAAUUGAGGGUUUGAAACAAUUUUUUUUUUUGAAAUAUUAAACUAUUGAACAAUUAUUGAGUGUAUUCUCUCAAAUGGGAGUAAAAUAGUUCAACUCUUCUUACAUCUUUUAAGGAUAUCAUCUAUAUGCCAAUUUUUGCCUCACUACGCAUUAUGUGUAACUCUUUUAAGGAUCUCAUUUGUAUAUCUCAUAAGUUUAUUUUCAUCCUCACACUAAUAUAUAUAGAUAUACUAAAAUAUAUGUCUUGUAGAGCAAACUUAUAGAGUAAAAUUUUCAUAAAUUAUGCAUGAGGUAUUCAUGGUAAAGACAUCCGCAUGCGAAAUUACAAUUGAUUACUUUCAUUUUGUAGACCAAAUCAGCAACCAGUUGAAGUAAAAAAAUGUAUAAAUACAAGAUCAAAGUAAGGUUGUGCUUGUUUAUUUCUUUUUCUCCUUUUAACAAUGCCAAUUGAGUGAAAUAAAUAGUUAACUACAAGACAAAAGAUUCCCUUUUUUCUAGCAUGAAAUUGCUUAUAUUAUUUGGUAAUUAAUUUUAAAUUUACAUGUCUGUUUCAUAUUUUAUUUAGACUCAUGAUUCUAUCAACAUGUCUAACCUCUGUUUUGAAGGUUUUUAUUAUUAUGAAUUCAACCGUACUUCUGCCAACUUUGAUGGUUAAUUCACUCUAAUCAGCUUUAGUUUCAUGGUGAAAACACCUACACAUUCCAAUUUUUUUUCCAAUGCAACCAAACAGGCAAGCAUCAAUAAAAGGUUUGAUCAGAUAAAUUCAUUACAUGCAAACAUGCAAAUAAAAAUAACACAAACUCAGGAAUUUACAUGGCAUAGCAUAGAAUAGCAGCAAAAAUCUUUUUCUAAUUGAAAAAGAAAGGAAAGUUGUGCAAAUUAUGUACCACAAAUUAAAUACAUACAACUCUCAAAUCAUACACAACAAUGAAAACAUAUCAAAAUUACAAAAAUAAAACUAUAAAGUGGUGAUGAGGCUUAGAAUUUAUAGUUUUCAGAUGAAAAGGUUCAAAAAUAAAGCACAAAGAAGUAUUUAUAAAGUGAAACUAUAAAGAAAACAAAAUAGUCACCAGGGAUAAUAAUAUAAUAUAAUCAUCUCUUCCAACUUCAGCUUUAGGGAUAAAGGAUCCUUCAUUCCACCAACAAGCCAUGUCUCUUGGGCUAUAUCAGAUGAAAUUUCAUAGAAAUCAGGGUCGUAUUUCAUCACCACUAAGCUCCCUUUCACCUUCAGGUUUUCUUCUUCCAUUAAUUUUUUUAGUUUUUCCUUGUAAUUUUUUUAUUUUUUCCUCGUAUUUCCUCUUGCACUCUUGUUUGUCUCUUUGAUCUUCCUCGUCCUCUUCGACCCUGUUAGCUUCUUCUAACUAGCUCUUAGUAGGAGUAGAUCGACAACGCAUAAGCAAAAGAGCAUUUGCAAGUGGGACUACAGUAGCAUGAUCAUCAACAUGAUCAAGGGAGUAUUUACGAGCAAUCACAAUUCUUAAUAUCAAUUUGCAAGCCUGAGAAGAUUGCAGAUUUCAAAAACUUAACUGUCAGCUUAAAGGUCUAAAGUCAAAUGCUGAGUUGGUUAAAACAUGUAAUUAAGUAAUGAAACCUACAUUUAUAAUUUAUUGAAGGAAUCAGGCUGCCACAAUAUCUAUAAAUGAUUAAGUUCAAGCUAUACAAAUUAUAUUAAAAAUAAGAUGAUCAUUACAAAAAAAAUAAAAAAGACCUUUUUCACUAGCAGAAACAUGUAAUUAAGUAAACUAUGUAUUUUUUUGUUUCUUAAUCUUAGCUUGAACUAGUUUUGCAUUGCAAAUAACAUACCCAUGUCAGCAAUGUAAACAGACACACACAUAUUAAAUUUAAAUCAUAAAAAUUUAUGUACUUAUAUUCAUGCAUUUAUAAGAAUGCAAGAAAGAUAUGCAAAUUUACAAAAAUAAUCGCAAAUUUACAAGAACAAGCACAAAUGAAACUUAAGAAGAAACUAUGGAUAAUAUGGAGAGAUUUUAAAUGUGGAUGAUCAAAGAUAGUGAAGCUCAAAAGCUUUGCAGCAAAAGCAAUGCUCAUAGAUUCCAAUCCAUGGCAUCCAAUGAUUUUCAGGUUCUCAAGAAGCCCGAAUUUCGAGACCAUACAUGAAGCUACUUCAUUGCUAAGGUGGUUUACUGAUAUCAAAUUAAGGGUAUUAACAAAAAAAGUAGAAAGAGUUGGCUAAUGAUGGCUUAAGAUUUUUGGGGCUAUCCAACUCUAUUUUCCAACCAAAAUGUGUUGGAUUUUGCAUGUUUUUAGCUGAGAAAUGAAGGUGAAGCUUAUUGUUAGGUGCAAUUAUGGUUGAUAAGAGGUUGUAUUCGUUGCAAAGGAACUGUUCCAGUAUUCCUUAUUGGAUUGUGCUCAUCAAAGUUUGCAAUGAACCCAAAAACUGCAGUGGGAAUGUAACAUCCCGAAAUAGGGUCUAAACGGAAUAGUGGUUGCGAAACCACAAAUUCGAGGUAGAAAAAUUUAUUUUAUUAUUAUUUUGAGGUUCAUGGUAUGAUUGCAUGAUUGUGUGAAAAUUUCGUGAUAAAAUUCUAUGCAUAAAAUGCUUAAGUUGAGGUUAGAGACUAAAUCGAAUAAUUUGCAAAACUUGCAUUCUAGAAGUGUUAGUAUGAAAUUACUUUGGAAUAUUACUUAGGAGGGUUUAAAUAACAAUUUGACCAAUUUUAAGUUCAUGGACAAAAAUUAGGACAUGGAAGGAAUUUUUGAAAGUUUAGUAAGGAGGGGUAAUUUGGUCAUUUGGAUAUUAAAUGAAUUAAAAAGGGAAAAUAACACAAAAAUGGUCAUCUUCUCAAUUAGUUUCUGCCGAUUUUUUCUCUCCUCCAUAGCUGGGGUUUCUUCAACUUUCAAGCUUCAUAGUAAGUGAUUCCAAGCCCCGUUUUUAAUCAUCUUUACAUUUUUGGAGUCCCAGUAACUUGAUUAAGCUUAUUCUAGCAAUAAUUCAACCUAGGGUUCAUAUUUGGAAAAAUACCCAUGGCUAAAAUUUGUGUAUUUUGGUGUUUUAUGAUAGAAUAUGAGGUUUUAAAUUAUGUUAAACAACUUAUGCUACUCGGUUUUAAGUGAAAACGAGUAAAAUGGCUUAAAUUGGAAACAAAUACCAAUAGAUCAGGGUGUCCACGGUGUGGUAGACUUCAUUAUGGUCCUUGUCGGGCAGGCGAAAAUGUUUGCUAUAAAUGUGGUUCUCCAGAUCAUUUUGUACGAGAAUGUCCAGAAGUGGCUAGCCGAGAAGUAAUACAAAGUGCUAGAUCCGGAAAUGCUCCUACUAGAGGCAGAUCACCGAGGCAACUGGGAGUAGGAGCAAGUAACAAAGGUACCUCUACAGAUUCAGCAGUGAGACCAGAUGUUAGAGCCCCUGCAAGGACUUAUGCUAUUCAUGUAGGCGAAGAGGCAUCCUUCCCCGAUGUGAUUACGGGUACAUUUUCUCUACAUGAUAUUAAUGUCAUUGCUCUGAUUGAUCCGGGUUCGACUCAUUCUUAUGUUUGUAUGAAAUUGAUGCCUAGUAUAAGUAUGCCUAUAGAAUCUACAGAAUUUGUGAUUAAAGUAUCGAAUCCAUUAGGCAUGUAUUAGUAGAUAAAGUAUGUAGAAAUUGUCCUUUAAUGAUUAGAGGCUACUGUUUUUCGGCUGAUCUCAUGCUAUUGCCAUUUGAUGAGUAUGAUGUGAUUCUUGGUAUGAAUUGGUUGACUACACAUGAUGUGAUAGUGAAUUAUGGAAAGAAAUUCAUUGAGUUGAAGUGUGAAAAUGGUGAAAUUCUUCGGGUUAAUUCAGAAAAGUCGGAUAGUUUAUUUCCCAUAAUUUCUGUUAUGUCUGCUCAGAAAUGUUUGAGAAAAGGGUAUGAAGCUUAUCUUGCUUUUGUGUUGAACACUAAAGAUCCAGAAUUAAAAAUUGAAUCAGUGCCUGUGGUAUGUGAGUUUCUCGAUGUGUUUCCGAAAGAACUACCAGGUUUGCCUCCUGUUAGAAAAGUUGAGUUUGGUAUUGAGUUGAUUCCAGGUACCACGCCCAUUUCUAUUGCUCCUUAUAGAAUGGCUCCGUUGGAAUUGAAAAAAUUUAAAGCUCAGUUGCAGGAAUUAACAGAUAAAGGCUUGGUAAGACCCAGUAGUUCACCAUGGGGUGCACCAGUGCUAUUUGUGAAAAAGAAAGACAGAUCGAUGAGAUUGUGCAUAGAUUAUCGGUAACUUAACAAGGUAACAGUAAAGAACAAGUAUUCAUUGCCUAGAAUUGAUGAUUUGUUUGAUCAAUUGAAGGGAGCUACUGUGUUUUCGAAGAUAGAUUUGAGAUCUAGAUACUAUCAGUUGCGAGUUAAAGAGUCAGAUGUCCUAAAGACUGCUUUCCGAACUAGGUAUGGUCAUUAUGAAUUCCUUGUGAUGUCAUUUGGCUUGACUAAUGCUCCUGCCAUUUUCAUGGACUUAAUGAAUCGAAUUUUCAUAUCGUACUUAGAUAAGUUUGUAGUUGUGUUCAUUGAUGAUAUUUUGAUUUAUUCUCAUGAUGAGACUGAGCAUGCAGAGCAUUUGAGAACAGUUUUACAAAUUCUGAGAGUUAAUCAGUUGUAUGCCAAGUUCAGCAAAAGUGAGUUCUGGUUACGAGAAGUUGGUUUUCUUGGACAUAUCGUCUCAGGUGAAGGUAUUAAGGUUGAUACGAGCAAGAUUUCAGCCAUUGUUGAUUGGAAGGCUCCUAGAAAUGUAUCAGAAGUUAGAAGUUUUCUUGGUCUUGCUGGAUAUUAUAGACGAUUUGUGGAGGGAUUUUCCAUGAUAGCUACUCCGUUGACGAGACUGCUACGGAAGGAUGUUAAGUUUGAAUGGACUGAGAAGUGCUAACAAAGUUUUGACAAGUUAAAGGCAUUGUUGACGGAAGCUCCUAUCUUAGUACAGCCGGAACCGAGUAAAGAAUUUGUGAUUUACAGUGAUGCAUCCUUGAAUGGGCUCGGUUGUGUACUCAUGCAGGAAGGAAAGGUAAUUGCUUAUGCCUCUAGACAAUUGAAGCCACAUGAGAAAAAUUAUCCGACACAUGAUUUAGAGCUAGCUGCUAUUGUAUUUGCAUUGAAGAUUUGGAGACAUUAUUUGUAUGGUGAAAGGUGCCAGAUAUUUACCGAUCAUAAAAGCUAGAAAUACUUGAUGACUCAAAAAGAUUUGAAUUUGAGGCAAAGAAGAUGGUUGGAAUUGCUUAAAGAUUAUGAGUUAGUGAUUGAUUAUCACCCAGGUAAGGCAAAUGUAGUUGCUGACGCUUUAAGUAGGAAACUUUUAUUUACAUUGCGAGCUUUGAAUACCAAUUUAGCCAUGUCAGAUGAUGGUUCUAUUUUAGCUGAAUUGAGAGCUAAAUCGGUAUUUCUUGAAGAGAUUUGUGAAGCUCAGAAAGAUGAUAAUGAGUUACAAGCUAAAAGAGUUCAAUGUGAGUCAGGCAUAGAAUCAGAUUUCUGGAUCGGUUCUGAUGGUUGUUUGAUGUUUAGAGACAGAAUAUGUGUACCAAAGAAUGAUGAGCUUAUUCAGAAGAUUUUACAGGAAGCACAUAGCAGUCCUUUAUCUAUUCAUCCAGGCAGUACAAAAAUGUAUAAUGAUUUGAAGAAAUUGUAUUGGUGGGUAGGAAUGAAAAGAGAUAUUUCAGAGUUUGUUUCUAGAUGCUUGAUUUGUCAACAGGUAAAGGCCGAACAUCAGGUACCCUCAGGAUUAUUGCAGCCUGUGCUAGUUCCGGAAUGGAAAUGGGAUCGAGUUACUAUGGAUUUUGUAACAGGAUUACCGUUUACACCGAGAAAGAAAGAUGCAGUAUAGGUUGUGAUUGAUAAGUUAACGAAGUCGACUCAUUUUAUCCUAGUUCAUAUGGAUUAUUCACUUGACAAGUUGGCCGAGUUAUAUAUUUCAGAGAUAGUUAGGCUACAUGGGGUACCAUUAUCGAUCAUUUCAGACAGAGAUCCAAGAUUUACUUCAAGGUUUUGGAAGAAAUUACAAGAGGCUUUGGGCACAAAGUUGAGUUUUAGUACAACUUUCCACCCUCAAACCGACGGUUAGUCAGAGAGAGUUAUUCAGGUACUUGAAGAUAUGCUUAGAUGUUGUGUAUUAGAAUUUCAAGGUAGUUGGGAAAAAUACUUACCAUUGGUAGAGUUUGCCUAUAAUAAUAGUUACCAGUCAAGUUUGAAGAUGACACCUUAUGAAGCUUUGUAUGGACGUAAAUGCCGUACACCUUUAUAUUGGACAGAGCUUAAAGAAAGCCAGAUUUACGGGGUUGAUUUAGUUAAAAAAACAGAAGAAAAAGUGAAAGUUAUCAGAAAUUGUUUAAAAGCAACUUCAGACAGGCAGAAGUCGUAUGCAGAUUUAAAAAAAAAAGAGAUCGAAUAUCAAGUUGGUGACAAAGUUUUUUUGAAAGUAUCCCCGUGGAAGAAAGUUCUCAGAUUUGGCAAGAAAGGCAAACUAAGUCCACGUUUUAUUGGACCAUUUGAAGUAAUUGAGAGAGUCGGACCAUUAGCAUAUCGAUUAGCUUUGCCGAUUGAGUUAGAGAAGAUUCAUAAUGUAUUUCAUGUGUCUAUGCUACGUCGUCAUCGUUCAGAUCCGUCACAUGUGAUUUCUCAGACAGAGGUUGAGAUUCAGCCAGACAUGACUUACGGUGAAGAACCGGUAAAGAUUCUAGCUCGAGAGGUAAAGCAAUUAAGGAAUAAAAGUAUUGCACUUGUGAAAGUACUAUGGAAUAGACACAGGGUAGAUGAAGCUACAUGGAAGCCCGAAGAGGCUAUGCGAAAACAGUACCCAAAUCUUUUCACAGGUAAGAUUUUCGGGACGAAAAUCCCUAAAAGGGGGGAGAAAUGUAACAUCCCGAAAUAGGGUCUAAACAGAAUAGUGGUUGUGAAACCACAAAUCUGAGGUAGAAAAAUUUAUUUUAUUAUUAUUUUGAGGUUCAUGGUAUGAUUUCAUGAUUGUGUGAAAAUUUCGUGAUGAAAUUCUAUGCAUAAAGUGCUUAAGUUGAGGUUAGAGACUAAAUCGAAUAAUUUGCAAAACUUGCAUUCUAGAAGUUUUAGUAUGAAAUUACUUUGGAAUAUUAAUUAGGAGGGUUUAAAUAACAAUUUGACCAAUUUUAAGUUCAUGGACAAAAAUUAGGACAUGGAAGGAAUUUUUGAAAGUUUAGUAAGGAGGGGUAAUUUGGUCAUUUGGAUAUUAAAUGAAUUAAAAAGGGAAAAAUAACACAAAAAUGGUCAUCUUCUCAAUUAGUUUCUGCCGAUUUUUGCUCUCCUCCAUAGCUGGGGUUUCUUCAACUUUCAAGCUUCAUAGUAAGUGAUUCCAAGCCCCGUUUUUAAUCAUCUUUACGUUUUUGGAGUCCCGGUAACUUGAUUAAGCUUAUUCUAGCAAUAAUUCAACCUAGGGUUCAUAUUUGGAAAAAUACCCAUGGUUGAAAUUUGUGUAUUUUGGUGUUUUAUGAUAGAAUAUGAGGUUUUAAAUUAUGUUAAACAACUUAUGCUACUCGGUUUUAAGUGAAAACGAGUAAAAUGGCUUAAAUUGGAAAAAAAUACCAAUAGUCAUAAGUAUAUGUUAGAGUGUGAUUUUGAUAUUGCCAUAGAAGGGAAAAAUGAUCAGCAUGUCAUAAAACAUAAGAAAAUAGGAUGAAGUUUAAUUUACGAGUCUUGGGGCAAAAGUGCAAAUAUGUGAAAGUUUAGGGGUAAAAAUAUAAUUUUGUAAAAGUUGGGUCAAGGACUGUUUUAAUAAAUGUGAAUAUUAAAUAAGUUAAAUUUGCUAUUAUAGAUCAAGAAGAACGAAAUUCGGGAGUAGAUCGGGGAAAAGAAAAAGUAAAGGACUAAAUUGUAAAGUUUAGUCACAUUUUGUAUCAAGGUAAGUUACAGUAAAUAAAUGCAAUAUUAUUUUAUUUUACAUUAUUAUUGUCAAUUUCCAGCAUUUAUAUAUUAUGUUAUGAAAAUAUUUAAAGUCGAAUUUAAGGUGAAGUGACAGAGGAAAAGUGUUAGAAAGCCCCGGUUGAACCCUAGGAAUGUUAGGAUAUUAGGGUUGACAGGACAGAACAGAAAUGAGCCAUGUAAGUCCCUAUUAGAAAUAUGGCUUUGGAGACAGGAUUGAGCCAUGUAAGUCCAUAUUAUAUAUGGCAUUGGAGACUGGAAUAAUUCAUGUAAGUCCAUGUCAAAGAUAUGGCAUUGGCAGUAUAUUGAUAGACAGGAACGACCCUAGUAUCCUUAGUAUUCCGAGUGGUUCAACGGGUCAGGAUACGAGUUAAAUUACAGUGAAUUAACAGCAAAGGAAAAGUAGAUUAUACUUAUGAAAAAGGAAAGGUCAGGUAAGAAUGAAGGUAAGGGAAUAAAGAAGAAGAUAGAAAUUGAGAAGUAAAGAAAUUUAUGAUGUUAGAUGAUAUUAUGCAUAAUUAUCCAUUAUGUUGAAUGUUGUGAUUUAUUUGCUUGUAAGCUUACUAAGCCUAGUGCUUAAUCUCUUUAUUUUCUUCUUCUUAUAGUACUUAUCUAGUCACUCAGGGAUCGAAGGAAACGUCAGAGGCCGAUCACACUAUCAAAGAAAUAACUUGGUAUAACUAGACGUUUUGUUUUGGGUAUGGCAUGUAUAGAAACUUAGCUACUUUUGGAAUAAUAUGAACAAUGAAUGAUGUGUAAAUACUUGCUAGUGAUUAGGUAAUAAAAUAGCCGAUGAUAUACAUGUUUAUUAAUAUGUAUGAUUGAAUGAUGAUUAUCACAUGAAAAUUAUGAAAAAUGUGAAAGUAACCUAAAAACAGAUUCAAGUAACAGAAAUGACGUAACUUUGAAAAAUCACUAAAAAUUGUAGAAACAUAGUUUGAAGAUGAAUAAUAUAUGAAAUUAAAGCUUAUUAUGUAUAUUUUCUUAUGGAAUAAGUAAAACAGGUAAAGGUAUUAUAUUUUAUGAGAUAUCUGAGUUUUAGUGAAACAAGGUCAGAGCGAUUUCUGGAUCCCCUGUUUCAACUUUGAAAAUUCACCAUAAAUUUUAAAAAACUAAUUAGAAGGUGUAAUUUAUGUGGUUAGAAUCCUUGUUGAAUCUAGUUUUGAGUGAAACAAAUGGCUUAGUCAUAUGAAUUUUGUACAGGAAGAAACAUGGUUCGUAGUAAGAAGAGGUCAGUGCAGUCGAGUUUUGAAACAGGGGAAACUUUAACUAAUAAACUGUACUAAUUGGCCAAGUCAAAAAUUCUAGAAACAAAUUAGUAGAUAGAUAUAUGAGUCUAGUUUCAGGAAAAAUUUACGGAUCUAAAUUUUGAGUUUUGAAACUCGAGAAAUGGAUCUUUAAGCAACAAUGACGCAGAAAAACAGUUUAUUCCAAAAAUUAAAAUAAGUGGUUUAGAGUUGUUUAAAAGGUAAGAUAAGUUUAGUAACACCUCAAGCUUGACUCCGGUGACGGUUUUGGGCGUGGGGGUGUUACAGGGAACAUCUUCUUUGGUGCCAUGUUGAAUGAAUGCUACGUUCUAUAGAAAUUUCCAUCGGGUUGAUUAAAAAAAUGGUUUGAAUAGCAUAUUCAAAGGGAAGUAAAGAAAUUAUGUAGAAAAGUAGUUCAUUUGGUAAACUACUUAUGAAAUCUUCCAUAUUGGCAACUCUCUAUAGCACUCGUAUUUAUUAAUAAGAAAGAUUUUCAUUUUCUAAAUAAAGUAUACAAAUUGAAUUCAUUCUAUAUCAACAACAACAAUAGUACACACGAUAGAGUGAUAGAUUACGAGUUUCCAUACAUGAUUUCACACAUACAAGAAAAGAAAAAUAAGUGAAAUAAUUCCAUCUAAAAUGAAAUUAAUCAAAGAAAGCCAAAACAGAUGCAGUAGAAUAGAUAAUUGAUAAUGUAAAUUUUUUUUUAUAUUAGUUCCAUCUGUUUAAAAAAAAGAUUGCAAGGUAAAUUAGCACAAAUUCAGUAAGAAAGAAAAAUAUGGAAUACCCACAAAGGGAUUGUGAACAAACAAGUCGAUUCAGAUAAGAAAAAAUCGGAUUGAGAAACCAACUAUUCAAGUACCGUGAAGAAUUAGAAAAUAUAUGAUUAGGAACAAAAAUGAUUACCAUCUUCUUAUUUGUCGACAACCACUUGAUUUUAAGUCUUAGAAUAUAAAUUUGUCGGUAAAGAAGACAUACCUGGACCUUCCAUUGGAUCCUCUUUUGUUUUUGUAUUUGAAUAAAAAAUUCUGAUGAUAAUAGUUUUUUUUAGUCAAAUGAAAAAGAAAACUAAAAAAAAUAGAGGAGAUGAACGGUUUUUUUCAACUAAGAUUUAGGGUUUAAAAUUUUUAGUUAAUUAAAUUUAUUUAAUUAAAAAUUUAUUCUUAUCCCAUUUGGAAAUCUAAAUUGGCACUUAAAAUCUAGUUGGACUGCCACGUAGGAGUACUGUCAGGAAGAUAACGGAACUUAACGUAGAGUUAUCACUUCGUAACAAAAUAAUAACAUAAAUAACUAAAACAUAACAUUUCAAAGUGACUAAAAUGUAAUUUAAAGCAUAUAAAAGUGACUAUUUUAUCGUUUACCCUUUAUAAUAUUGAAAUUAUAAAAAAAUAAAUUUAAUAGUGAAUUAAAAAGACUAUCCUACCUCUAUUUAAUCCAUUACCUAACUCUUUUUGGGAGAUUUCAUAGUGAACUUUUAAAUAUGUAUAUACUUGACAGCUUAAGAUAUUAUGUAUUUAAUAUUAAAAUUGUAAAAAUAAAUAAAUAAAUUUAAUAGUGAAUUUAAACUCUACUUGAGAGAUGAAAAUACAUAUAAAAAAAUAAAGAUUUAAUAAAAAAUAUAAAUUUAUAUAAAUUUAGUUAAUUUUGAAAUACUUCGAUUACCUAUUUAACUUUUUAAAAUUGCUUGAUCAGCCUUACUGAUUACAAAUGCUCCAAAAAGAUUUGUUUCUAUUAUAUAGAUAUAAUUCCAUUGUAAAUAAGUGAUAAUAGGCAGGGGAAUACGUAAGGUUUGCUGAUGAUUUGACAAGACAAGGUUUACAUGUGAAAGGGGAAAAAUGAUGUAGACAUUUGACCUGACCUUUCGACCAUGCCUUAGUCCCAGUCUCAACGUCAGCCUCUUAGGCAACUCAGUCAAGGCAGCCAGCAACCCAACAGGCAAAGACAGGGCAAGAGAUGGGAGAGCUCGUUUUACCCCCCUUCUCCCCACACCCCCCCCCCUCCCCAAAAAAAAAAAACGGCUAAGAAACCGUACGAUCAUGAAGAAAACGGUCUCAUUGGCGCCUAAUAACUUUUAUCCCACCGGCACGAGUCAAUAACCAUUAUCACUCCUUGUCCAAUCGUUUGUUUUUUAGUAUACUUUGAAACUGUUUUGCACUAUGCUCCACGAGUGGGCAGAGAGGCCUUUUCUUUUAUCUUAUUAUAUACAUAUAUAUUUUCCUUUGGGCAAAUAAUAUAGGGGGCACUGACUCCCACGUCCCAACUAUGACUAUCUGACAUACACACACAACUCCCUUCUCUUUCUCUGGUUUUGGUUUUAAUGAAGAGUCUUUGAUGACUGCUUGACGUUAAAAGGACAUUGUCUUAAACAGAAAGAAAGAUCAGCCAGUGAGAUAGAAGAUAAAAAGAAAAUAUUACACGUCUCUUCCAUCAAUUCUCUCUCAUUCCUUUUGCCCAUCGGGAUUAUUUAUUUAUUUAUUUAGAACAGUUUCACUUAAUUUCCUUUCAUCAAACUAUCGCUUUGUUUUGGUGGUCCCUGAAGAAAAGUGAAAGAGAAAAGAAAAAAAAAGAAGACUGCAACCUCUGAGAGAGUCUAUAAGUAAAAACCCUUUAUUGAUGGUAUAUUAAUGUCUGUGUGAGUCUACAGUUUAAACUGGGAGUUGGAGCUAAGUGCGUGUCAGCGAAAGCAAUGGUUCUCGUUAGUAUGAACGAGGGAGUUUUUGCCUCUGUCUCAUCCAACAACAGUAUCUCAGUUGUCACCACGCCUUUCCUCGGCAUUCUUGCAUGCGGGACACUUGUUUUGGAAUUUGGAAUUUCUAUUACACACUAAUGCAAAAUGUUAAGAGCACGGUAUAAGAGAUCAUAUACCAGUUCAAGUAUGACAUUGUAGUUCAAAUUAAGUUGGCUUUGUAAUAGGAGCGUUGACAUGAUAAUUAUAACGAAUCAAUGUUCUCAACCCCCUGAAUAAAAACCCAAAUAAUUUAAUCCUAUGUACAUUCUCUCUUCAAAGUUUCCAACUUCAAGGAAAGCUAGUUAUCGACCAUUUAAAAAAAAUUUGGACGGUCGAUCAUAGAACAGUUGAAUAUACAAACUAAAUAUUUCCCCCCAGAUUUUCACAAGUCUUGUUGAUACAAAAAGUUGCGUGAGGGAUGAAAAUAGUUCGACAUAUUAAGCGAAAAGUCGUACUGUGGUGGUGGAGAAUUGAGGUGUGAGGAAGUGAAGGAAAGAGAUAAGCAACAGAGAGAAGGAAGUUGGAUAUGCUUUGCGAGAGAGUGAGGAAACAUGGCCUCUCUUGAGGUGAGAGAGGGCUUCUACAGGCGAUCUUAGGAGAUGUGCGUCCUAUAAUGUAGUCACAUUAUAAAAUAUUUUCAAAUAAUAUCUAAGUUAGAAAAAUGCUUAUGUAUCAUUUCAUCCCACGUUGAAAGUAGGCAUGACAUUGCAUCCCAGGAUAAUCUCUUAUUUUCAAUUAAAAGAAUCUUAGAAAAGAUUUUAUGAUUUAAUAUAUUAUAUAAUAUUAAAUAUAUGAAAGGGCAAAAUAUAAAGAUGAGAUGAGAAUAAAUAUAUUAUAUUGUGGGAAUGGUUCGGUUAACACCAAUCAUUUUCACACACACACACACUAUAUAUAUAUAUGAAUUAGUGGAAAGGUUUAGGAUCUACUACAAUAGAUGUAAAUUUGGCCGUUGAAAUAAAGCUACAUUUAAAUGUUGUUUUUCAAACGGUAUUUAAAAUAAAUUGAAUUACUGGCGGAAGAGUUGUGUUGUUUGGUGCAAUUUUGAAAUGGAAAAAUUACACAAUAUGAAAUUCUCUUUCUUUCAUAUUUUUAGUGUUCUCUAGAAUUAUUUUGUUUUAGAACAAUUCAAAUAUGGUGUCCUAAAUCUAAUCAGGAUGGUUUGACCCGAAUCCAAAACGUCAUAUUAGCUACUGAAGUGAUUCAAAACACAUCACUGACUGAUAGCAAAAGUCAUGGACAUGCAAUUAAAUCAUACAUGAUCAUGAAUGAACAACAAAACCUAAUAGCAUGUUUUAUCUAACAUAAAUCAUUCAACUGCAAUUAGGGGCGAAAUAGUCAUUUCACAUCUAAUAUUCGAACAAGCACAUAACAAAAAUUUAGAACUACAUUUUAAUUCUAAAAUCCUUUUAGACACAUUUUUGAAAGAAUCGGUUUAAUCUGAUCAACAAUUCUCCUUUAAUUUUAAAAACAAGUGUUUUUGGGACCAAAUUGAAAGAAUGAUAAAAUAUAAAAAAUAACCAUAUUACUAAAUUGUCUUUGAAUGUAGGAAAUUAGACAUCUAAACCUUAGGUAUGUGUCUUUUCAAGAUAUUUUAUAACCUUUUUGGACUCCAAUUGCAUUGUUUAACUUAGGUCUAAACUGCAAUGAUAUAAAAACCAACCAUGAACGAACAAUAUGUCACGUUUCAACAACGUGAUUCACCUUGUCACAAGAUGACCUGGAGGAGGCCCUUCAUCCCGAUGACAUGACAAAGGAUGUCCCAAUGUCGAUCCCUCGUCGCAACAACAUUCGAAUGUCAUCAUAACAUCUACUACAGCUUUUGUAGAAACAGUCCAGAAACCUACAAUUUUUAACUUUAGUCACUGCCAAACAUACCAUUUCGUGCAUUUUGGCCUAUUUCUCAUUUCUAACAAGUCAUAUAUCCUACAAACACCAUUUAAAACAUGCUUAAACAUGCCAUAACACACAAUAGCAUAAUUUGACACUUCAAGUAAAUGUUUAUGCUAGCAUACGACUAUUAACUUACGACUCAAUUACACAACAUACCAUAUCAGCAUGCUUAUGAUUCCUAAGCAUCCUACAUAUGUAUUUUGUACCAUUUGGUCAUUUUAGACAUGCCAAAACUUUCAGAAUAUUUUUUUAACCUUUUUAUCACUUUGUAGCCAUGUUACAUGCAAUUUUAACACACCACAUCAACUAAACAAAUCAUGCAUCAUCAACAUUAUCCAAAACAUCCAAAUAAUGACAAAACAAAGUCUAAAGUUAUUUUUAACAGUUCAUAAGAAAGGCUAAUCCCACAAAAUAGCCUAUACUGCCUUUAUUAAAAAUUCAAUCACCAGUAUCACAUACUCAACGUUUAUGCCUUGUAGGGAUCACCCCACUUGUCCACCUCACACUCCUUAGAAGCACUAUCUUUUUGGAAAACAUUUGAAACACGAGUGUGAGCUUUACUAAGCGCGGUAUGUUAGAGUAUACUCAAAGACCAAUCAUGAAACGAUUGUAAUAACAUACUUGUUUUACCUUGUUUAUUAAUAUAAGGCAUUGCCAUUAUUAUUUUAGUUUCUUUUCUAUGUAUAUAAAUAAUUUUUUUUUAUAAUAAUGUCCUGAGAAUAAUAUAAUUAUUCUUAAAAGGUCCUUAGUCGAGUAUUAUUGUGGGCUUGGACAAUAAUAAUGCAUUAAGAUUAACAUGUAGUUGAUUGAUGACAAAGUGUUGUCAUUGACAUACGGAUGUCAAAAGUAAUACAUGAGUAUAUGUUAGAGAACAACAUAUUGGACUAACCUGCUAUGAGUAUGUUUCUUGGAUUUUUAUGUAAUAGUCAAAACAUUACUCAUAGUGAUAACUAUGUAUACGAUCCUUAGACUUGUGAUAACAUAUUGAGUUCUAUAUUUUGAUACAGUUAAAUAUCUAUUUUAACAGAUUGUACUAUAAAGACUGAUGUUGGGUAUGCCACAAUCUAUGACUGAUGUUGGGUAUGCCACAAUCUAUGUAGUGGAUAUGAUUGAUCAAGAUAGGAUUUGUCCCUCCUACAUAAUGGGAGCAAUAUCUUAGGCCACUUGAUGAAGUGAGACUAGAAAUGCAUGGCCAUGCUCAAAUAAGUUAAUAUGAUAUAUUACCUUAUUUGUUUAUUGUAGUCUAUUUCGGGUAUCAAGAAACAUGAGAUUGGACUUUGCAAGUGUGACUAUUCCAUGACUUGUGCCCACUGGAGAUAUAAAGGAAAAAAGGAUAUAAUACAUUAAAAUUUAUCACAGAAAGGUUAUGUUGAAUCAUGACUUCUUGUAACUCUGGUAGCAAUGAUGCAUUACUAGAUGCUAAUCAUUGCUUGUAAUGUUAAAAGUGUUCUAGUAUUACUACCAAUGUUACAAAAGCCUAUAGGUCACAUCCUAUGGUUGAAACGAACAAAAUCUAAACGCAAUUGUUAUUAAAUUUAACUGUCACGAGAAUUGUAUUAAUCAUUGAAUUAAUUUAAUUUGACAGUUAAAUAAUAAACACAAUAUAUGUACAAAUUUGUUGUACAAGAUAGAGAACAUAAUUAAAAUAAAUGUAUGAAAUUGAUUCAUAUAAAAUAUUAAUUAUGAUCUAUUUACUGAAAAUAUUAAAAUAAAGUAUUAUAAUAAUUAAUUACGGUCAAAUAUAAUAUAUAUAUAUAUGGAAAUUAAUAUCCUUUUGGAAAGGAUAUUACACUGUGAUAUUUUCAUAUAUAUUUUGGCACCAAAAAGGGGAUUCUGUUUUUUUUUUAUUUAGGGAAUAUUAAAUAAAAGGAAAGUAAUCAUAAAAUAAAACCUUAGGGUGCAAAAAAAAUGUUAACCAACAUUAACCACAAAAGAAAAGAACCUUGGUCUAGCAGCCGCAUUUCUUUUCGGAAAAACUCUCUGAAACGUUCAGUGAGAGCUUUUGUUCGUUCGUUCGCAACAAGGUGGACUAUGUAGAGGUUGCGACGAUUCUGUUGCGACUUUGGAUUGGCAGCGUGUGAAGGGGAUUAAAAUAGUUGUGGUUCCUUCCUAUUUUUCAGAGUACGAAAGGUAUCUUUUUCAAACCUUGUCUUCCUAAUUCAUUCCUCGUGCAUGGAUUCCUGGUUUGGAUCGCCGAAAUAAUUUUUGCGCUGUGCCUCGUGGCGUCCCGAUGGUCCAACACAAUGAAUGUUCAAGAAUACCAUAAUGUAUAGACAAUAUCAAGUGUUAAACAAAGGCAUGAUAAAUACAAUAACUCAUGACACUUUCAAGGAUAAUUUAAACAUUUCAACAUUGAUAUAUUGGCUUCUUGAGACUUAUGAAACAUAUAUACAUACACAAUUCAACAUAUUGGAUAAAUGGAUAUCUAACAUACCAAUGACUCAAAGAGUCCAUCAUGUCUUAAAUAAAGUGAAGCAUUAAGCUAACACUUUCCAACACACUAACCAUGUCCCAAUGAAUGAAGCUUAGCUCAACAAUCCCUUAUCUCUCCAACAAAUCUCGGGGCCUCAAUGACUAUAUGCAAAAUACAUGUAUGAGUACUCAAGCCUUAUGGCAUGCCAUUAUAUCUAAUGGUUACAAAAAAGUCAAAAAGCCUAUAUAUCCUCUUUUAUGCACGCUUAGUUACUAUUUUAUGCUUCAAAAAGCCUAUAUAUCCUUUUUUAUGCACGCUUAGUUACUAUUUUAUGCAUAAUUUCUCUAUUCACGUUCAUCAUUUCCACAUCACUAUCACAUUCACACUUGCUGCACUUACAAGUGCCACUACAAUGCUCAAUGAGACACAAUCAUUUUAGUUCACAUAGGUGUGCAUUAAACCAGUAAACCACUUAUCAUAUAUUGACAUUUUCACUUAUUACUUACUAUAUUAUCAAAUCUCAUAUCCAAUCACACAUCACAUGAACACCAUUUUUCAAAAUGAGGUAAUGAUAUAAAAACACUUACAUUCGAAGCUUAAGAUAUGUGUUUAGGCUAACUAAGCUCCCAAUUAACUUAAUGAAUUAUGCGAACAAAUAGUUAGUCAUCUUCUUCUUUAACUGCAUCAUGUGCUCCAUCUUGCUAUUGAUUUCUUGUUUCCUUGCAGAACCUUUAAUAUGCCCCAUCAAGUUGUACCUUUUACACUUCACAUCUAACCUUCUUUAACUCCUAAAAUGGGGAUGGUUUUACUUUCCACAAUACUUACAUGAAGAGUACUUGUCAGAAUUCUAGCACCACUACUUUUUGCAGCAACUUCUGAACCACUAUUGCCACCACUCUUCUUCCUUUUCCACUUAUGGUCCUUUCCUCCUUCACCCUACUGCAUCUUAGCCUUCAAUACUCUUUCUAUGCUUCCUUCCUGCCUUAUUAGCCUCCUCUGCUCUUUUUCUUGUAAAGCACUGAUCAACUCCACUACACUUAGCUAAGUCAAAUCCUUGGUGUUCUCCAAAGUAGCAAUUGUUGCUUCAUACUUCUUAGGCACAAAAACUAGUAUUUUUUUUGUACUAGUCUACAAUCAGAGAGAUUAGUCUUGAGAACCAUUACGUUGUUAACAAUAUCUAUCAACUUGUCUAAGUAUUCUUUGAUUGACUCAGACUCAUUCAUCUGCAACUCCUCGAAUUCUCUAAUCAAGUUGAAUAGCUCUAUGCUUUUGAUCUUCUCAUCUCCUUGAUACUCAUCAUUGAGAUAGUCUCAUAUGUCCUUUAUUGAUCCAAAAGCCAUAAAUCUAUUGAAUAUGGUUGGUGAAAUAGUAGCAUAAAGGCAGGCGUUUGCCUUUGCCUUUGCCUUCUUGGUUGGUCUCUCUUUGUGCAGUUUAAUCUGGUUCAUAGUUGGAUUGUUAAGAAGUAGUCACCUCAUAAUCUUCCUCGACAAUUCCCAAUAAUCACAACCCUUCAUGUAUGCUUGCAUUCUCAUAGCCCAUACUUGAUAAUUGUCUCCAUCAAACAUAAGUAGGACUAAGAUAGAUAGGUUGCUUGAUCCUAAUUCCAUUUUUCCCAAUUCCUCACAAGUGUAUCUCUUGGUUUUCCCCUUAUGAUUCUUAUAGGGCUUCUCUUAUAGGUCCCUCAAGAAAAAGGGCUAUUGAUACCACCAUUGUUUCAGCAAAAAGCUAACUGAAGGUAUAAAAACUGAAAAUGGAGAAGGAUGAUCAAAAUUCAUUAACCAAGCAACGCUUAUAUACAUGACUCAAACUAACGAACUCUAACAAACCUAGCCUCCUACUCCCACUAAAAAGCUGACAAUCUCCCUAGGACUUUGACUAAGGCUAUCUUAAUGACAAAAAAGACUUUGCAACCCCUAAGACACUAACAUAAUCAAAUUUACCACCUUGCAUGUCCAACUUCUCCAAUUUUCUACAAACACAACCCCCUGAAUGUAAGUAUUGGUGCUUUGGAAUGCUUUCUAAAAUAUUUUAAUGUAUGAAUGAUACAUUAAAAUAUUUUAACGUAUGUUAUUUUUUUAAAUGUAUUAGAACUUAAUUGCUUAGUAUAAAACAUUUUAAUUUUGCUAUCUAUGAAUUAUAUAUUACAUAUGUGUGAAAUUAUAUAUGAUUGGAUUGUAUUAUUAAAAAAUACAAAAAAUUUUAAUAAAUUUUGAAAAUUUAGCGAUGUUUAUUAAGGGAACGCCACUGGCAACCUUGUUUUGUGGCGUUUGGAAGAAAGAAAUGCCAUAAAAAGCUUGGAAGUCAUGACUUUAUCCAAUAACUAGGUGGAUUUGCUCCUUUAUGUUGUCGUGGCAUUGCUUCCUUUUAAGUCAUAGUGCUUGCCAUUUAUUUCUCCAUAAUUUUCAUUUAAUAUCCUUCUUAACUUACACAAUAAUUACAACAUAUUAAAAAUAAAGAAAAUGCAUUAAGUUGAUUGAGCCUUAAUUCAAUUGGCAUCAAUGCUAUUGCGACAAUAAGGAAGACGAGCUUGAGCAUUUAUGUUUUUCCUUUUAUUUAAGGAUUUAAAGGGUUAGGAAUAGAAAAUUGCAUUGUAUAAAAAAAAGGGGGAAGGAAUUGAAAUGAUGAGAAUUAACAAAUAAAUACCUAAAUUCUAAAACAUGCAAAAUAACACUAGAAAACUAGUAAUAUUUCUCUAAAACAAAGACUGACACAAAGGUAAAAGUGUGCUAAAAUAUAAAACAAAUAUACAAUCAUCAGAAUCUGCCGUGGGUUCAAGUGUAAUAAGUAAGAAACCAAGUGUCCUUGCAUGUAACGUCCUAUUGUCCCUUAGUUCUACUCUUAUAGUUAAGUAAAAGUGUUGGGCCUUCACCAUAUUUUUUGAGGGCCCUUCGAUUGUUCUUAAAGGGUCUCAGUCACCCAGUCUUCCUGGAUUCUAACAUGCAAAUUUAAUUUAAGAGCUAAAUUUAAGACAACUCUUGGCAGGUCGUUCUCUAAAAGGAAAAUUUUGCCCAUUCAGGCUUGUCAUGCCUACCUUUUGGCAAUUGCUUUAGUAAAGCACAAAGUGCUUUUUAUGCCCCAAAAAGGAAGUUAAUUGUAUAUCACCUUUUAGUGUUAAAGCAAGAUAAUGACAAAAGUUUUAGAAAGUAAAUAAGCAAGUGGAAAAAUGAAUAGAUAAUAGAGUUUGCUACAAGCUUUUGAUACAUUUUUCUUUUAACUUCAUUAUUAUAUGAAACUAGUGUGAAUUCACUGCAACUUUAACAAGUUUCAUCUUCAAGAGGUUAAUUAAAAACUUUAUUUUAAAAAAAAAAUUAAUUUAUUUUUAAAUUAAAUCCAUAAAAUUAAAAUUUAACCUGAAUUUUUCUAUGAAUUAAUACCAAAAAUAAAUAAAUCUAAUAUUCAAUCAAUCUGUAAAAAGAUAAAUUGACAUUCAACGACUAUAUAUAUAAAGAAUGGUUGUAUUAGGUAUAAAUUGUCUUAAAUUAUAUUAUGAUAUUGAUCACUCUAUUAUGUUUAAAUUUAUGAUUAAUUUACAUAUCUUUUUUGAUCUAAUUUGCUCUUUCUAUAACUAUAAUCUCGUUAGCUAAUUUAUGUAAUUAGCAUCAUUAAUGAUUUUGGUAAUUCGGCUGGAUCUUUUUUAAAACAUUUAUCCUAACUUAUAAUAUUGAAAUUUUUUUUGUUGUUGUAAGAGUAUUUUUAUUAAAAAUUCACAUUAAUAUUUUAUUGUAAAAUUAAAAUUUUAAUAUAAGCAUAAUAAAAAACUCAAUCACCCUAUUUUCUUAUAAGGUGAAAAAGAAAAGAAGGGACACUGUCUACGAAGCCUUUUAUAUAGUUUUUAUACAUACUUUUAGGAUCAAUGAUAUUAAUUAUUGCCCCGCUUGUCUACCACAUAGGGUUGAAAUUGUUAACAUUAUCAGGCAUUUUCAAACAUGUCAUCAAACUUUAUGUUAACCAUCUUUAAUGUUGGGUACAAAUUGAUAUUAGAUCCAAUUUGAUAUUUGACACUAAAAUUAAUCAAUGCUAGAAGUAAUGUUAUGUUGAGUUUUAAUUACUAAGGUAAGAAAUGUUUUCAUUCUACAAAAUCUUGAUUAAAGAGAAUAUUUACUAUCUUAACACCAUGUACGACAAGUGAACUCAAGUUCUAACACUUGAAAAUUUAAGACACUUAACCAAGCAACGCACUUAUUAUUACAAAAGUGAUGCACUUUCAAAUCAAGUUCUUUAUCAAACAAAAUAAGGGCUCUCAACUCUGUAACAGCCCGAUUUUGGGCCUAGUCGGAAUAGUGGUUUCGGGACCACAAAUCCGACGAGGGAAAAUAUGGUUAUUAUUAUAUUUUUAUGGUCUACAAUUUCACGGAAAAUUUUCGUAAAAAUUUCGUUCGAAAAUUUCGACGUUUGGGCACUCAAUUUAGUCAAAAGGACUAAAUUGUAAAUAGUGCAAAAGUUGAGUUCUAUAUGUAGAAGUAUCUAAUUGAUAUGAAAUUUUAAAUUGGAGGUCUUUAUGUGGUAAUUAGACCAUUAGUUAGUUGAUGGACAAAAAUAGACAUAAGAAAUGAGAGAAAUAGAUUUUUUUAAGUGGGGGCAUAUUAGUCAUUUGGUAAUAAAAAAAAUAAAAUGGGAAAAAGAUGACAAAAAUCAUCAUCUUCCUCAUUAGUUGCUGCCGAAAUUUGAAGGAAGCCAUAGCUAAGGUUUCUUUGCUUUCUCAAGCUCAUAGUAAGUGCAUCCUAGCCCCGUUUUUAAUGUUCUUCGCAUUUUUGGAAUCCUCGUAACUCGGUUUAGCUUAUUCUAGCAAUAAUUCGUGUUAGGGCUCAUAUUUGGAAAAAUACCCAUAGGUGAAAUGUGUUUAUUUUGCUGUUUUAUGGUGGAAUAUGAAGCUAUAAAUUAUGUUAAACAACUUUUGCUAAGCGAUUUUAAGCGAAAACGGGUAAAUAGGCAUAAUCGGUAAAAAUAAUUAUUGUUCAUAAGUGUAUGUUAGAGUGAGAAUUUGAUGUUGCCAUAGAAGGGAAAAAUGUUCAGCAUGUCAUAAAACCUAAGAAUAAGUGAUGAAGUUUAAUUUCCGAGCUUGGGGACAAAAGUGUAAUUAUGCAAAAGUUUGGGGGCAAAAUUGUAAUUUUUCAAAAAGUUGGGUGGUGGAUUAUUUUAAUGAAUGUGAACAUUAAAUGAGUUAAAUUUGCUAUUAUAGAUAAAGAAAGACGUGAAGAUUAUCUCAAACGAGGAAAAGAAAAGAUAGUGGAGUGAAGUGCAAAAUUACGAUAUUUUGCACCGAGGUAAGUAAACACGUGACUUGAUGUAUUAUUUUGACAUUAAUUGAUAUAUGUUGAGAUUUAUUUGGAAUUAAAAUAAAUGUUUGGCCAUAUCCUAAAAAUGUUGUUAAAUCGGGAAAGGUGGUAAAGGGUUGCAAUAUAUGAUUUAUGGGUUGAACACUCGGAAUAAGCCGAAGUAUGUUGUACAUAAAGGGGUUGUUGUGUGCUGAUUCCCCGAUUCAUUGGUGGUGCUAUGUGCGAUAUCCACCGUAUCUUUGAAAUGUGAAAGGGGGUUGCUAUGUGCUGAUUCCCCCGAGGGGUUGCUAAGUGCUGAUUCCCCGGUUCAUUGGUGGUGCUAAGUGCGAUAUCCACCGUAUCUCUGAAAUAAAAAGGGGGUUGCUAUGUGCUGAUUCCCCCAAGGGGUUGCUAAGUGUUGAUUCCCCGAUUAAGUGGUGGUGCUAAGUGCGAGAUCCACCAAUAACGGUUAACAUUCCGAGUGCUCAACGAAAAAGUGUGGAAGGUGAAUAUUGCCAUAUGGUGGAAAUUUUUAUGGGGCAAAUAUUGAGUUGGAUACUAAAUUGAUCCAUGUAUGAGAUGGGAGAAAAUAUCAAAAACGAAAAAAAGAACGAUUUAGUUAUAAACUGUGUUGAACAACAGCAGAUGGGUAACUUUGAAAAAUCACCAUAAAUGGUGGAAAAUGAAUGGGAAGCUGAAUAAUAUAUGAAAUUGAAGCUGAAUGUGUCUAUUUUCAUAUGAAAUAAAUAGAAUAAGCAAAAGAGUUGUAUUUUUGGAGAUAUCUGAAUUUUUACUGAAACAGGGCUGGAUUGAUUUCGGGAUCCCCUGUUCUAACUUUGGAAAAUCACCAAAAAUUGUAAAAAAAUAAUUAUGGUGUGAAAUUUAUAUUCCUGGAUUCCUUAUUGACUCUAUUUUUAAUAGAAACAAGCGAAACCAUUUUUAAAAUUUUGUACAGAGAGUUAAGUGAAUUUUUUUGAGGAAGGGUCAGAACCGUUGGGCAGUGAAACAGGGGAAGUUUUAAUGAAUAAACUGUACUAAUUGGCUGGGUAAAAAAAUUCUGAAAUUUUUAUGGUGAAAUGGUAUAUGAGUCUAGUUUCAGGGAAAAUUUACGAAACUCAAUUUGGAGCCCUGUAGCUCCGGAUAAAAAUAAAUUAGCGACUAUGACGCAGAAAAACAGUUUGCUGGAAAUUGCCUAAACAAUGAAGUUAUUCAUGAAUAAGUUUAUAUUUUGGUGUAGUUAUGUGAGUAAUUACUUAUUUAUCAUGUGUUUACUUACUAAGCUAUAUGCUUACUCGAUUUUAUUUUUCCCUUGAUUAUAGUGACUUCCGACAACUCGGAAAUUUGGAACGAAGCCAGACAAUCAUCCACACUAUCCUUCACACUUGGGGUAUUUUGCUACUAUCGUUCCGGAAAAUUAUGGCAUGUAUAGACGACCUAUGAAAUAUGGAAUCAUCAUGUAAAUAUAUGUUAUGGUUUAAUUUAAAAUGUGGUGUUCAUUAAUAGUUAAAUUGUGAGUAUUAUUAUAAAUGAGUUUGGUUGAUAUAUAUAUAUUGGAUUGUGAUUUAAAUUUGCAGGAGGUUUAAGCAAAAUUAAGCAGAAAUGCUGUCGAAAUUUUUUUAAAAAACUUAGUAAUACCUCAUACUCUGUUCCGAGCCGGAAUACGAGUAAGGGGUGUUACAUUUUAGUGGUAUCAGAGCUACGGUUUAGUCGGUUCUCGGACCAAUAAAAUAUGUGUGAAAGUCAGUCUAUACAUGCCAUCAAUAUAUUGUGAUAGUGUGAUGAUUUCUGACAAUUUAAAAUUUUGUUUUAUAUAGUAAAUGGAUCCUAAUCGAAGUAUGGCAGAUGAUGUUGAAAGUAACACGCCGGUUCCCGCACAAGGGACCGCGCAUGAAGAGAGUAGACAUGAGACACAUGGACAGGAUGAGGCUCGAGAAGCCUUCCUCCGAAUGAUGAGUGAUUGGUAUACAGAAUAUGUCCGUGUAAAUCCGAAUGUUCCACCUCCUCCACCCCCUCCUAUUCCUCCGCCGGUCCCCGUAGCUCCACGAAGUGCUGAAUUGGUGAGAUCAAGUAAACCACCCGUUGAUAGAAUUCGAAAGCAUGGGGCUGAAGAUUUCAGGGCCAAUGUUGAUGAUGAUCCGGAAAAAGCCGAGUUUUGGCUUGAAAAUACUAUCCAGGUAUUUGAUGAAUUAUCUUGUACUCCUGAGGAAUGUUUGAAAUGUGCUGUGUCUUUAUUGAAGGAUUCGGCAUACCGUUGGUGGAAAACAUUAAUAACGGUGGUUCCAAAAGAAAGAGUUACUUGGGACUUCUUUCAGGAAGAAUUCAGAAAGAAAUAUGUAAGCCAACGGUUUAUUGAUCAGAAGCGCAAAGAGUUUCUCGGAUUGAAACAGGGCCGAAUGUCAGUAGCAGAAUAUGAACGGGAGUUUGUCCGGCUUAGUAAAUAUGCCCAGGAAUGUGUGCCUACGGAGGCUAUUAUGUGUAAAAGAUUUGAAGAGGGGCUAAAUGAAGACAUCAGAUUACAUGUUGGAAUUUUAGAGUUAAAAGAAUUUGUGGUAUUAGUUGAUCGUGCUUGCAAAGCUGAAGAGCUGAGUAGAGAAAAGAGAAGGGCAGAGAUGGAAGCUCGAGAUGUAAGGAAGAGGUCAAUGGGCAGAACAUUUCAAUCUCACCCGAAGAAGUUUAAAGGGAUGGAUCCACGACCAACCGGUUCAGUUGGGUAUUCACGCAGAGACCGAGGGAGGUCAUAUUCCGGAACUACAACUCGAGCUACCUCAGUGGCAAGUGUGGGUAAUGUAGGAAACACCAGACCUGAAUGUCAACAGUGUGGCAGGCGACAUACUGGUGAGUGUUGGGGAUUUAAACGAGCUUGUUUCAGAUGUGGUUCCCAAGAGCAUUAUGUAAAAGACUGCCCUGAGAGAAUAGAAGAAGAAAUAUUACAAAGAGCUGGAUCGGGUGAUGUUGUCAGUAGAGGCAGACCACCGAGAAAUGUGGGAAGCAAAGCCAGUGGUAAGAGUGUGAUAAAAGAUGCAGCUGGAGGAUCAGAAACUAGAGCGCCUGCCAAGACUUAUGCUAUACGCGCUCGAGAGGAUGCCUCAUCUCCCGAUGUGAUUACUGGUACAUUUUCUCUUCAUGAUAUUGAUGUUAUUGCUUUGAUUGAUCCCGGCUCUACUCAUUCAUAUAUAUGCAUGAAUUUGGUGUCUAGUAAGAAAUUGCCUGUUGAAAACACUGAAUUUGUAGUUAAAGUAUCAAAUCCUUUAGGCAAAUAUGUCUUAGUCGAUAAGGUUUGCAAGAAUUGUCCCCUGAUGAUUCAAGGUCACUGUUUCCCGGCUAAUUUGAUGUUGUUACCAUUUGAUGAGUUUGAUGUUAUUUUGGGGAUGGAUUGGUUGAUAUUGCAUGAUGCCAAGGUAAAUUGUAGACAGAAAAUUCUUGAAUUAAAUUGUGAAAACGGUGAAAUUCUCCGGGGUGAAACAAAGGAGCCGAAUAAGUUGCCUAUGGUGAUUUCGCACAUGUCUGCUCAGAAAUACUUGAGAAAGGGAUGUGAAGUUUAUCUUGCUUAUGUGCUGAACACGGAUAUUACUGGGUCGAAGCUUGAAUCAGUGCCGGUAGUUUGUGAAUUUCCAGAUGUAUUUCCAGAGGAAUUGCCUGGGUUACCUCCGAUUAGAGAAGUUGAGUUUUCUAUUGAUCUGUUACCUGGUACUGCACCGAUUUCUAUUGCACCGUAUCGAAUGGCUCCGACUGAGUUGAAGGAAUUAAAAGCUCAGUUACAAGAGUUGACAGAUAAAGGAUUUGUGAGACCGAGUUUUUCUCCUUGGGGUGCUCCUGUGUUAUUUGUGAAAAAAAAGGACGGCUCUAUGAGACUUUGUAUUGACUAUCGUCAGCUCAACAAGGUGACUAUAAAGAACAAGUAUCCUUUGCCGAGAAUUGAUGAUUUAUUUGAUCAAUUAAAAGGGGCAACAGUGUUUUCUAAGAUUGAUUUGAGGUCUGGUUACUAUCAGUUAAGAGUUAAAGAGUCUGAUGUGCCGAAAACCGCCUUUAGAACAAGGUAUGGACACUAUGAAUUUCUGGUAAUGCCUUUUGGGUUAACAAAUGCUCCAGCUAUUUUUAUGGACUUGAUGAACCGAAUUUUUCGGCCGUACUUGGAUAAGUUCGUGGUGGUGUGCAUAGAUGAUAUUUUAAUCUAUUCUCGGGAUGAAUCUGAGCAUGCAGAACAUUUAAGAACUGUGUUGCAGAUUCUGAGAGAAAAGAAAUUGUAUGCUAAAUUCAGCAAAAGUGAGUUUUGGCUUCGUGAGGUUGGAUUCUUGGGACAUAUAGUUUCAAGUGAAGGUAUUCGGGUUGAUCCAAGCAAAAUUUCAGCAAUUGUUGAUUGGGAGCCACCAAAGAAUGUGACAGAAGUUAGAAGCUUUCUGGGCUUAGCUGGGUAUUACAGACGCUUUGUCAAGGGAUUUUCGAUGAUUGCUUCUCCUAUGACUAAGUUACUGCAGAAGAAUGUCAAGUUUGAAUGGACCAAUAAAUGUCAACAGAGUUUUGAAAAGUUGAAGGCAUUAUUGACUGAGGCGCCAGUGUUGGUGCAACCUGAGUCCGGGAAGGAGUUUGUAAUUUAUAGUGAUGCAUCGUUGAAUGGUCUUGGGUGUGUGUUAAUGCAAGAGGGCAAAGUAAUAGCUUAUGCUUCGAGACAAUUGAAACCGCAUGAGAAGAAUUAUCCGACGCAUGAUUUAGAAUUGGCUGCCAUUGUUUUUGCUUUAAAAAUUUGGCGUCAUUAUUUGUAUGGUGAAAAGUGCCGAAUCUUCACUGAUCAUAAGAGUUUGAAGUAUUUGAUGAGCCAAAAAGAUUUGAAUUUGCGGCAACGAAGAUGGCUCGAGCUAAUCAAAGACUAUGAGCUAGUGAUUGAUUAUCACCCCGGGAAAGCUAAUGUGGUUGCUGAUGCCUUGAGCAGAAAAUCUUUAUUUGCUUUGAGAGCUAUGGGUACGAUGUUAACUUUAUCUGAUGAUGGCUCAAUGUUGGUUGAAUUGAGAGCUAGACCAUUAUUUCUUCAGCAAAUUUGGGAAUCUUAAAAGAAUGACAGUAAAUUGCAAGCCAAGAGAGCUCAGUGUGAAGCAGGUGUUGACUCAGAUUUUCAAAUUGGUUCAGAUGAUUGCUUGAUGUUCCGGGAUAGAGGAUGUGUACCAAGAAAUGAUGAGUUAAUUCAGACCAUUUUAUGUGAGGCACAUAGUGGUGACUUGUCAGUUCAUCCGGGUAGUGUGAAAAUGUAUAAUGAUUUGAAGAAGUUGUAUUGGUGGCCAGGCAUGAAAAAGGAUAUCUCGGAAUUUGUAUCAAAGUGUUUAAUCUGUCAACAAGUGAAGGCUGAGCAUCAAGUACCAUCGGGUUUACUUCAACCGAUAACGAUUCCAGAGUGGAAGUGGGAUAGUAUUACGAUGGAUUUUGUGACAGGAUUGCCUUUAACUCCAAAGAAGAAAGAUGCUAUUUGGGUAAUUGUUGAUAGAUUGACAAAGUCGGCUCAUUUUAUUCCGAUACGCAUUGAUUACUCACUUGACAGGUUGGCAGAAUUAUAUGUUGCUGAAAUAGUGAGAUUACAUGGGGUGCCUAAAUCUAUUAUAUCGGAUAGAGAUCCGAGAUUUACUUCGAGGUUUUGGAUAAAGUUGCAGGAAGCCUUGGGUACAAAAUUGAAUUUCAGUACUGCGUUUCAUCCGCAAACUGACGGGCAAUCGGAAAGAGUGAUUCAAAUUCUUGAAGAUAUGCUCCGGUGUUGUAUUUUAGAAUUGAAAGGCAGUUGGGAGAAAUAUCUACCAUUGGUUGAAUUUGCUUAUAACAAUAGCUAUCAGUCAAGUAUACGAAUGGCACCGUAUGAAGCAUUAUAUGGGCGUAAGUGUAGAACUCCUUUAUAUUGGACUGAGCUCGGUGAGAACCGGAUUCAUGGAGUCGACUUGGUGAAAGAAACUGAAGAAAAGGUGAAAAUAAUUCGUGACUGUUUAAAGGCUGCCUCAGAUCGGCAAAAGUCGUAUGCGGAUUUAAAGAGAAAAGAAAUUGAGUUUCAAGUAGGUGAUAAGGUGUUCUUGAAGGUGUCUCCAUGGAAGAAGAUUCUGAGAUUUGGUCGUAAAGGCAAACUAAGUCCACAAUUUAUUGGACCAUAUGAAGUUACCGAGAGAGUUGGCCCUGUAGCAUAUCGGUUAGCUUUACCACCGGAGUUGGAAAAGAUACAUAAUGUGUUUCAUGUGUCGAUGUUGCGACGUUACCGUUCAGAUCCUUCACAUAUAGUUUCCCCUACAGAGAUUGAGGUCAGACCAGAUAUGACUUAUGAGGAAGAACCAAUAAAGAUUUUGGCUCGGGAAGUCAAGCAGUUAAGGAAUAAAAGUGUAUCCUUAGUAAAAGUACUGUGGCAAAAACAUGGGAUGGAGGAAGCUACGUGGGAACCGGAGGAAAUUAUGAGGAAACAGUACCCAAAUCUCUUUUCCGGUAAGAUUUUCGGGGACGAAAAUCCUUAAGGGGGGAGAGUUGUAACAGCCCGAUUUUGGGCCUAGUCGGAAUAGUGGUUUCGGGACCACAAAUCCGACGAGGGAAAAUAUGGUUAUUAUUAUAUUUUUAUGGUCUACAAUUUCACGGAAAAUUUUCGUAAAAAUUUCGUUCGAAAAUUUCGACGUUUGGGCACUCAAUUUAGUCAAAAGGACUAAAUUGUAAAUAGUGCAAAAGUUGAGUUCUAUAUGUAGAAGUAUCUAAUUGAUAUGAAAUUUUAAAUUGGAGGUCUUUAUGUGGUAAUUAGACCAUUAGUUAGUUGAUGGACAAAAAUAGACAUAAGAAAUGAGAGAAAUAGAUUUUUUUAAGUGGGGGCAUAUUAGUCAUUUGGUAAUAAAAAAAAUAAAAUGGGAAAAAGAUGACAAAAAUCAUCAUCUUCCUCAUUAGUUGCUGCCGAAAUUUGAAGGAAGCCAUAGCUAAGGUUUCUUUGCUUUCUCAAGCUCAUAGUAAGUGCAUCCUAGCCCCGUUUUUAAUGUUCUUCGCAUUUUUGGAAUCCUCGUAACUCGGUUUAGCUUAUUCUAGCAAUAAUUCGUGUUAGGGCUCAUAUUUGGAAAAAUACCCAUAGGUGAAAUGUGUUUAUUUUGCUGUUUUAUGGUGGAAUAUGAAGCUAUAAAUUAUGUUAAACAACUUUUGCUAAGCGAUUUUAAGCGAAAACGGGUAAAUAGGCAUAAUCGGUAAAAAUAAUUAUUGUUCAUAAGUGUAUGUUAGAGUGAGAAUUUGAUGUUGCCAUAGAAGGGAAAAAUGUUCAGCAUGUCAUAAAACCUAAGAAUAAGUGAUGAAGUUUAAUUUCCGAGCUUGGGGACAAAAGUGUAAUUAUGCAAAAGUUUGGGGGCAAAAUUGUAAUUUUUCAAAAAGUUGGGUGGUGGAUUAUUUUAAUGAAUGUGAACAUUAAAUGAGUUAAAUUUGCUAUUAUAGAUAAAGAAAGAUGUGAAGAUUAUCUCAAACGAGGAAAAGAAAAGAUAGUGGAGUGAAGUGCAAAAUUACGAUAUUUUGCACCGAGGUAAGUAAACACGUGACUUGAUGUAUUAUUUUGACAUUAAUUGAUAUAUGUUGAGAUUUAUUUGGAAUUAAAAUAAAUGUUUGGCCAUAUCCUAAAAAUGUUGUUAAAUCGGGAAAGGUGGUAAAGGGUUGCAAUAUAUGAUUUAUGGGUUGAACACUCGGAAUAAGCCGAAGUAUGUUGUACAUAAAGGGGUUGCUGUGUGCUGAUUCCCCGAUUCAUUGGUGGUGCUAUGUGCGAUAUCCACCGUAUCUUUGAAAUGUGAAAGGGGGUUGCUAUGUGCUGAUUCCCCCGAGGGGUUGCUAAGUGCUGAUUCCCCGGUUCAUUGGUGGUGCUAAGUGCGAUAUCCACCGUAUCUCUGAAAUAAAAAGGGGGUUGCUAUGUGCUGAUUCCCCCAAGGGGUUGCUAAGUGCUGAUUCCCCGAUUAAGUGGUGGUGCUAAGUGCGAGAUCCACCAAUAACGGUUAACAUUCCGAGUGCUCAACGAAAAAGUGUGGAAGGUGAAUAUUGCCAUAUGGUGGAAAUUUUUAUGGGGCAAAUAUUGAGUUGGAUACUAAAUCGAUCCAUGUAUGAGAUGGGAGAAAAUAUCAAAAACGAAAAAAAGAACGAUUUAGUUAUAAACUGUGUUGAACAACAGCAGAUGGGUAACUUUGAAAAAUCACCAUAAAUGGUGGAAAAUGAAUGGGAAGCUGAAUAAUAUAUGAAAUUGAAGCUGAAUGUGUCUAUUUUCAUAUGAAAUAAAUAGAAUAAGCAAAAGAGUUGUAUUUUUGGAGAUAUCUGAAUUUUUACUGAAACAGGGCUGGAUUGAUUUCGGGAUCCCCUGUUCUAACUUUGGAAAAUCACCAAAAAUUGUAAAAAAAUAAUUAUGGUGUGAAAUUUAUAUUCAUGGAUUCCUUAUUGACUCUAUUUUUAAUAGAAACAAGCGAAACCAUUUUUAAAAUUUUGUACAGAGAGUUAAGUGAAUUUUUUUGAGGAAGGGUCAGAACCGUUGGGCAGUGAAACAGGGAAAGUUUUAAUGAAUAAACUGUACUAAUUGGCUGGGUAAAAAAAUUCUGAAAUUUUUAUGGUGAAAUGGUAUAUGAGUCUAGUUUCAGGGAAAAUUUACGAAACUCAAUUUGGAGCCCUGUAGCUCCGGAUAAAAAUAAAUUAGCGACUAUGACGCAGAAAAACAGUUUGCUGGAAAUUGCCUAAACAAUGAAGUUAUUCAUGAAUAAGUUUAUAUUUUGGUGUAGUUAUGUGAGUAAUUACUUAUUUAUCAUGUGUUUACUUACUAAGCUAUAUGCUUACUCGAUUUUAUUUUUCCCUUGAUUAUAGUGACUUCCGACAACUCGGAAAUUUGGAACGAAGUCAGACAAUCAUCCACACUAUCCUUCACACUUGGGGUAUUUUGCUACUAUCGUUCCGGAAAAUUAUGGCAUGUAUAGACGACCUAUGAAAUAUGGAAUCAUCAUGUAAAUAUAUGUUAUGGUUUAAUUUAAAAUGUGGUGUUCAUUAAUAGUUAAAUUGUGAGUAUUAUUAUAAAUGAGUUUGGUUGAUAUAUAUAUAUUGGAUUGUGAUUUAAAUUUGCAGGAGGUUUAAGCAAAAUUAAGCAGAAAUGCUGUCGAAAUUUUUUUAAAAAACUUAGUAAUACCUCAUACUCUGUUCCGAGCCGGAAUACGAGUAAGGGGUGUUACAAACUCAGUACAAAAUCUAUUUCAUUUCACAUACUUUAUACAUAUAUGGGCUUGUUAGCAUAAUCAAUUAUAUACUAUCAAUUAUCCCUUGAAAUAAAUAAGAUAAAUAUUGCAUAAAUCUCUAAAAUAAGUCUUCCAUUAGUUAAGGAUAUCUUUCCUUCAAAAAGGCAUGAUUUGAUCUUCUCCUUAGUUUAAAGGAUAUCAAUUGCUUCGAUCCAAUCCCAAUAAAUUUUCAAGAUACCAUGCACGAGUAGAUUAGUUAUCAAGGAUGGGUUGGCAAGCAUCGCAAUCAAUCCUAACAUGGCAGUUCAAUGUAACCAGUGCUACAAGUAAUUGGCAUUGAUUCAGGUACUGGUCAAGGUACUAGAUAAAAAAUGCCUCAACAUCUCGUUUCUAUGAUAUUUGUCUGAUAAUAUAUUUGAUUAUGGUAAUUGUUAAAUUUAUUGGCUGAGCAAAAUAUUAUAUGCAACAUAAAAAUAAUUUAUAUUAAGUGUCUAACAUUAUUAAUCUAUAUUAUAUUAAGUAUUUAUUUUAGUUGGUGUUAUGAGUCACUCGGACACCAAUUCAAUUGGAUAAUGAUGAAAAUAAUUUACUUUACAAAGUAUAUUAUAUUAUUUUGAGGAUAUUUUUAUUAUUUUAUAUUUUCUAUACAAAAAGAAAAUAAAAAUAUAGACAUAUAAUGGAAUUUGAACCUAAACUUUUAUAAUUUUUGACAUUUAUACUUUACCCUUCAACUAAAAUCUCAUUUGUUAUUUAUAUAAUUUUUUAUAAAUAUAUUUAAUACAUGAUUCUAUUUUUAACCCACAUUGUGGUUUGCCAUAUUCUAGUUACUAUAUAAUGCAUUUGACUGAGUUGGUGUUACGAGUUAACUUGACAUCAACUCAAUUAAAGAAAUUACUCAAAAACUAUUUUCUAAUAAAGGAAUGAAUAUUAAGAUAAUUGGCUUUCUGCACGUUACUAUUUUUAUAUAAAAUGUUUAAAUAAAACUAUUAAAAUACAAUGGCUAACCAAAUAAGUGUUAAGUGUAGUGAUAAAGUACAUUGCACUCCUAAUCGGAGAAUGUAGAUUUGAACUUUGAAGACAACAUUUUUUAGAAUAGCAACUACGAACCCAAAAAUAGACCGUAAAAUGAACAUGAAGGAUACCAAAAUAAAAAUACAAUGUCUAGAACCCAAACCUAUGGAAAGUUUAUAUAUAAACUAUUUACUGUUUGACCUAUAAUUCAAUCAUUAAUUAUAUUUUAUAAAUAUAAUUUUAAGGCUGUAAUGAAAUUUUUUUAAUAAAACGAGGAUGGGAUUUUAUAAUGUAUUUUUAAGUUGUAUUUAGAAAAUUAAAGGUAAAUAAAUAGGACAUAUGAUGAAAUUGAAAUUAAAAGUUUCCAUCACCAAUAUUCUAAAUAAUUAUCCUAAUUUUAAUGUUAUGUUUUUCUUUCACUCACAUCGAAAGUGUGGUAAAAUCUAGUAUAUUUUGAUAUUUUUACUUUCAGUUCCAUAACUACUUUAUUUUCAAGAUACAUAUUUCAACCCUAAUUUUAAUUUUUCAGAUGCAAUAUAUCAUUUUAGUGUUAAUCCAUAUCGGAUGCAUUAGAGAAGGGGAAAAUCAAAUUUUUUUAGUCAGAUCUGUAGAAAUUUAGUAAAACAGGACUCUCUCUAUUGUUAGACAUCUGGAAGGGCCCGUAAAUUCGUCUGCAUUUCUUUGGAGCAAUCAGGCCCAAAAUAAACACACACUACGGGCUCAAAUCAACCAUGUGAUGCCUUUCAAAAUUAGAUACAACCAUGACCUAACAACAUUUAAAAAAAAAAACCCAAAUUAUUAUAUGUUUUUUAAUAAUAAAAAAAGUGCUUCACUAAAAAUUUUAAAAAUUAAAAAUAAUACAAAGAUCACUAGAACAAAAGAUGCUAGAGGUUUGAAGCUGUUGAAAACUGCUCACUAGUGAAGUCAACCUAUCCGCACAUUGAUUUUCCUUCCUAUAGAUAUGUUUUAGUGAGAUUAUUGUGAAUUCAGAUAUGUGAGACCUACAAUCGUCAACAAAAGUUGUUUCCAUUAUGUCGAAACCAUUUUUACUUUGGAAAACGAGGAUCGACUUUAAAAACAAAUUAUGGAGUCGCCACCCAUCCUUUUUUUGGUUUAGGUGUGAUCAGGCCACCUAAUAAAUCAUUUUACUAAAAUAUGGAUUUUGGCCCAACGAAAAUCAAGAAAUGGAUUCAGGAGUCAGUUACGUACGAGGGAGGAUUAGCACCCUCGUAACGCCCAAAAUUGGUACCUAAUUGAUUAAUUUAUGUUCUAAUGUUGAAAUUUAAAAAAAACAUUGAAAUACGAUCCCCUUAAAAGUGUGUGCGCAACUCGAACUGGAUUUCAAGAUUCACUCAUUUCAAAGAAAUAAGAUACCACAUCCAGCACGUUAGGACACGAUAUUUUAAGCCUCCAAAAACUGAGAUCACCUCAUGAUUUUCAAAACGCAACAAAAAGGGUAUUAAAUUAUUUGGACCAACAAAAAAAACGAAACCCAGCACGUUAGGACACAAUUUCUCGAAUUUUUAAACAUAGAACAUUGCCUUAUUUUAGAAGUUUUUUUAAAAAUUGAUAGUUGCAACAACGAAUUAAAAAAAACUUUGCUUGAGGAUAAAAACAAUUGAUAUUGAGUUAACACGAGAAUUGAAAACAUAAUGCAAUUACAAGGAAAAAAAUAGUUACAUGUAUGAACAAUAAUAUGUGAAAACGAUAUGAAAGCCAAUGACGACACAUAAUAUGCAAGGCAGCACAAGAACUAGGAGUCAAUGGUAUUUAAAGACUAUUAAAUACAUGCAAAAAAAUAAUACAAGCAAAAAUUUGAAAUAACUUAUAUGUAUAUAAAAACUAAAAAUAUAUGAAUAAUUAUUAAAAAAUAUAUAUGUAUAUUACGUAAGAAGAAAUUCAAAAUAAAUAAUAUAAAACAUAGACAAGUUAAUUUAACUAAUGAGGUAUAUAUGAAAAUGGGAAAAAAAUGUAAAUGAUAUAUACCAAGAUAUUAAAAUAAAUAAAAUAUACAAUAAUCCUUUAAAGAGAACCAAAUUAUACAUAAAUAAAUUUAAUAUAUAUAUAUAAAAUUUAAGAAAAUACUUACAUAAAAUAAUACGAGAACAAUAAUGUACAUGGAAUAAAGAUAAUUUUAUCAUAAAUUAUAUAUUUGUAUAAUAAUAAUAUAUAAAGGUAUUUGAACUAAAUAUUAUACAAGAAUUUUAAAAUAACAAUAAAUAAUAUAGAAUUUUACAAUAAUAUUUUUAUAAUUUAAACAAAUAAAAACAGAGUAGAAAAUUAUUUAGGUAACCUAAGAAGUAUAUUAAAAUAAAUUUUUAAAAGUUGAGUACCAAAUAAAUUUAAGAAAUAAUGAAUUAUACAUGUAAAAAAAAACUCAAUUGAAAUAAACUAAACUUAAAGAGAUAAUUAAUGAAUAAAUAGAACGUCAAAUUAAAACUAGGGACCACAAUUCAAUGCGCACAAAUUCUCAAGGACCAAAAACGAAAAUGACCCAAAUCCCCAAAACUCAGCACCUGGGCGUGGACCAGAUCACAACAAUGCAUAAAUUAUAGGGAAAAUUUAAUAAAAUAAAUAAGGUGCAAAUAGGAGUUAAUUCAAAACUGGCGCGAAUAGGAAGGACUGAAAGCGAAAAUUUCCCCUUUAAAAUGAAAGUGCGUGGACCCAGCCUGUGAAUUGGGUCAACACGCGGGCCUUUCCCAAAAUGCGACUGCUUUUAACAACCAUUUAUUUUAUUAUUAAAAACAAAAGCUGGUUUUAAAGCCUUUUUUUUUGCUAAAAAAACUUUUAACUUCGAUUUCUUUUUUCUAAGAAACCCUAAACUCUUUCUUCUCCCCACUGUCCUCUUUCUUCCAGCCGCAAGCAAGGCCAACACCAAGCCUUCAUUUGCUUCCGUAACGACCAACAGAGGGCCGGAGAACCCCUCUUGCGAGGCGAAACGAGAGGUACUCACCUUUCCCCUUUUAUUUCGUAUUUUCGGAUUUGAAUGGAAAUAAAAAUCAAGCAAAAGAACGGGAAAAGAAAAUGAUAAAAUAACUACCUUAGAAAUAUUUUCUUGGCUGCUCUUUACUCUCUUUUUUGAUAUCUUUUGUAUUUCAAAAAAAAGAAGAACCCUUUACAAUUAAAAUUCAAAGACUUUAUAGCCAAAAUACAAGCAAUUUGUGCUGCUUCCUUGUCCAACUUGCAGGCCGUGAAGUUGUGGAGAACGAGGGGCAUAGAGUAUGGGCGCAAACAUGGAGCGAGGCGCACGGGGAUCGUGCGUGGAGUGCCGACGUGGGGGUUGCGGCGUGGGGCUGCUGUGCAAAAGGGGAACUUAGGGUCUCUAAAACCCUAAAACUUUGGGCCUAUCGGGCGUUGUAAAAUUUUGGGCUUGUAAACCGAACCUAUUUGAUGGACUAUUUAAUUAUUGUGUUAUGAUUUUGGUUUCCCUAUGGGCCGGGCAAAAUUCGGGUCUUACACAUUAUUUUCACUAAAAAUUGUUUGUAAAACUAAAAGAGUUGAAAACAUAAACUUUUAAUUUUUUAUUAUAUUUCUUAUGUUUCUAUUAGAGGAAGAUAGAUAUCAACCAUGUUUUUACCAAUGGAAAUAAAUUUUCUAUUUUUAUUUAUCAUUUGCGUAUUUUAGGAAAUUGUUUGAACAUUUUAUAUAAAAGUAAUAUAAUUAUAUUAGUAUUUAUU